GUCCUACGUCAUCAGCACCGCGCGCCGCCCAAGGUCCGAGCCGUUGGUGAGAGGAGCGGGCUGACGGUUGCGCGGGUAGCCGAUGCCGCUGGGGGGGGGGGGGGGGGGAGUGAGGAUGCCACUCUGGGACGUCCCUGUGGGCCGCACCGAAGCCCGCGAGCCCGGGGAACGGCAGAUGUCACCUCACGCCCGACUCCCGGUGGGCUGAGGGGCUCUGUGCCCUUGUCACACUUCCUUCUCGGAGGGCUUGGACGGUGCUCUUCGCCGCCACCUCUGUUCCCGCCCGCCUUGUCAUCGUGCCUGCUGGGCGGAUUUUCCGGGCUCUGGCACCCAGUCAGCCUGUGAGUGCGGAGUCGCCCCCAGCUUGCCACCAGGGAAGUCAGAUGAUGCUGUCUUCUGUUGGUUACUUCAUAGCACUUCCAUUUUCAAAGAACAUCUUCCUGAGAAUAAACUUGGAAAGUAAUAUGACCACAAAACAUCAUCUUCACAGAGAGUUCAAAGGGAUAUUGGAUACAGAAUAAGAAAAUAUGAGAGAUUAAAACUCAGGAGUUGAGUUCCAGCCUGGAAAACAAGAUGAGAGAACUUUCCAGCCUGCACCAAUGUUCACAGUUCUGAUUGAAUUACAAAAUUUUUCUUCUUUUGAACUCAGAAGUCACUUGGAAACUUUGGGGGAAGUUUCACCACAUCCUUUAAGCCUUUCUUCUGGUUAGCAGGGGAGAUCCAUUAGAACUUAGAGAAAUAUCCCAGCCUCCAGUAUCAAUAGCCUUGCCAGCCUACCCUUAGGAUGCCUGGCCAGGCUUCAUUGUCAGUGUGUUCACGGUCACAGUUUUACCUUCAGCUAGCCAUAUUUUCCCAGAUGGUCUUAAACUAUUUGCUGAGUUUUGGGUUUUUUAUUUUGUCUUAUUGGAUUUUGUUUGUUUUGUUUGUUUGUUUGUUUUGCAGAGAGUUUUCAGACUUUCUGUUAGGUAAAUUUUACAUUACCAUUAAGAAAUGCUUUCCAAGUUGUGCAUUGCCAAGUAACUGCUUCUCACUAUUCUAGUUUCGUUGGAAUUUUGGUAUUAUUUUUAUUUUGUGUCUUGAUCUUUGGACACGAACCACACCAUUAUUAGUUUCUACUAGAGAUAUUUGUGUGUGUGGCAUGUAUACUUGAUCAUGUGUAUGUCUGCAUAUAACGUGCACAUAGGUGUAGAGGACAGAGGUUGACUUUGGGUGUUUUCCUCCAUCACUCUUCCUCCUUAGGUUUUUACCCAAGGUCUCUCACUGAACCUGUGAUUCAUCAGUUCAGACAGGCUGGCUAGCCAGCAAGUUUCCAAGAUCUACAUGUCUGCCCUCUCAGGCCUGGGGUUAUCAGCCAUAUUAGAUGAGCACUUUACUAACUGAAUCAUCUGCUACACCCUGUGGAAACAAUGUAUCCAGAGGAUUUUUAUCUGGGGCUUUCUUAUUCAUCUACUUUAUCUUCUUCCUAAGUAUCCUUUCCUGGCAUUUGUUACAUCACAGGCUUUUGUAUCUGUAUUUCUUGACUCCUUCCUAGUUAUUUCAGUCCUGCUUUCCCUUUUUUGUUAUCUUAGCCGGGACUCUUAAAGCGUCGUGUGUGGGCAGCUGCUCCUCUGUGGCCUUUAUGGGCCUCUCCUCUUGAGAAAGUACUUUAUUAAGGCAAACUGCAGCUCCUGUCAGUCAGUUUCAGGGCUACAAGUACUACUUAUCGUUCUCCUCCAUAGUCAAUGCAAGUUCUAUGUCCCUUAGGUUGUUUCUUCCAUAAGCCUAAGGGCUUUGCUUGUAUGACCCAAAUCCUCAUUCCUGAAUUAAAAAAAAAAUGUGUAUCAGUAAUUAUUUAUAUCUUACUCUGGAAUUGCUGCACAUAUCCUUCCAAAUUACAAUUUGGAAUCAAAAUGUUCCCAGAUCAGUCACCUAUAUGUUUUUCUCUGCCUACCAUCAUUUUGGUUUCCUAUUGCUCUAGCUCAGUUACCACUGCCAAGAUGGGAAAUCCUUGCCUGCUCAUACCUGGAUCCAGAGUUCAAAAUGGCUCUAACAUAGUCUAGUGGGACUCUUAUUGUGUCUCCUGGCAGAAAUGCAUCCCAUUUGGAAGCCAGGACUUUUAUACCUUCAGUGUACAGAGUUAUGGGGACUGGAAAGUGUCCCCUAACAAGUCAGUAGGACUGGUGUUCAGUGGGGUCAUUUCUGCUUUCUCUGUUUUGUUCUUGGAACCAUGUGUUUGUUCUUAGUAGGGAUAAUAAUCCAAGCCAGUGUAUGUACUACUUCCUGAAGGAUGGCAUUUAAUCCUUAUGAAACCCUGCUUCUGAACUGGCACUUCAGUUAUACCAUUAUUACAUUGAAAGCAAACAUUAGAGUUAAACAGCUAGGUCAGAAACACUGAGGAAGGUAAAUAAGAAGGCUUGCACUAGGCUAUGAAAUAGCCAAGCCGAGCAGUUAAGAGAAGAGGCAGAACUCUGGGCUGUUUCAGCAGGGCCCAAGAGCCCCACCCUCUCCUGCAGCAACAUGUGCAAGGUAUUGUUGCCCUUUCCCUUAGUAAACAUCUAAAAUUUACAGGUAGUUAACCCUCAUGGAUAACUAUGCAUCUAAUUGUAACAGACUGAAUUGUGGGUAAUGGCUUCUGAGAAAGCCUGCACCUUUUUUAGGAGGGCGACCUCUCCAGACUGCCCCAGGGAUAGACAAAGGAGAACUGGUGAACAAAGUCCAGACGCUAGAGGCAUUCCUUGGCCAUUGCCACUUGGCUCACAGUACCCUCCCAUCUUGCCUUUGCCUUCCCACCUGCUACAGUAAACCUCAACAACUUGUUUGCCCUACCUGUCCCCUAAUGUGAAUCUCUUUACUUGAGAUUGGAGGACAUGUGGGAGGAGACAUCUCUAACACCCUCAGUAGGUUGCCUGGUGAUCGAUCUGUCAAGCUGAAUGACCCUGUUGAUUCCCUGGUCAUGAAUUCACAUGUUAUCUUUUUACUGUGAAGUAGGUCCCAUUUGCAUGCUGUUGAAUUGGAUCCCAUACCUGUGGUUCAGGCAUUCUUUAAGGAACUAAGUCAUGAUAAUAUAGGCCAAGGCACUGAAAGGCAUAACAAGAAGUCCAUACCCAGAAUAAGUAUUCACCCCUGUUGGGAUAGACCACUAGCUACUCCAAAAUGGAAAGAGUCCAUGUUAUUGACCAGGUAUCUGAUUUGUCUUGAGUAAUACUGCAGUAUUGAGAACACAGUGUAGUCCUCUGUUCCUAUCAGGUUCCUUAGAAACAGAUGUAGAUAUGGAUUGGCUUUUGUAGCUGGGAAUUUAUGUUGUGACUCACAUAUAGCCUCCUGUGCAAACAUGACAACUCAUGUGUUGUCUUAGUGACAGUUCUAGAGUAGGCCAUGACAAACACUUGCUUAACACCAACUGAUAGAAUCCUUUGUCAGUAUGAAUUUUUCUGUUUCUCUUUCAUGAUGGAUGUUCUAGUCAGAAUGAACCUGUCAUUAGCCGCUAAGCAAGACAGGCACCAUCAGGGACAGAAUCCUAGGUUGAUGCACCUUCAGGGUAUCCUUUCUUUAUUUGCAGCUAAGGCUCUAUGGCAUAAGAGCAUUCCUUGGGGCGUGUCUACUCAUUAGUUUUUGCUUUGCAAGCUCCAAGAUGUGUCUACUAUAGCCUCUUUAAAACUAUGACCUUGAACUGAAUCUGCUCAGGGAUGUACUCCUUAACUAAGCCUGCCCCUUGCUCAGUCCUGGGCCAAUCCUUAUGUGAAUGUGUAUAGGCUCUCGGAAUACAAUUCCCAUGCUUGCUUUGUUGGAAGAUGUUUGGAAAGAACACCUGUGUUCGCCCUUAUCUAUUGCAAGUAAUCUUUCUCUACUCUUUUUAUAUAUUGACUGUGAUUAUUUUGGCUUGCACUCAAUGAUAUGUGACCCCAUUAUAUUUGACUACAAUAUAAUUAAAAAGAUCCUCACUCCAUGUGACCACAUAUCUCCAUUUCUAUACCUCUCUUCCUUACCUCAUUGUCUCUGACCUUCCAGUCUUCUCUGCUGAGAAAGUCUAUACAGGAUGAUCAUGCCAUCAAACACUUGAAACUAACAACAGUAACAAUGAGAAACUGAAGUGAAAAUUUAAGGGCUCUUUGGAAAGUCAUCUGUGUUGAUGGUGUUUUGCUGGGGCAGACACGUGCAGUACCAU
rnacentral:lncRNA from 1 species